ACAAGCGGAGGAGCAUGUGGUUUAAUUCGAUGAUACGCGAGGAACCUUACCUGGGCUUAAAUGCUUAAUGACGUACUGGGAAACUGGUAUUUCUUCGGACAUUUUGCAAGGUGCUGCAUGGUUGUCGUCAGCUCGUGCCGUGAGGUGUCGGGUUAAGUCCCAUAACGAGCGCAACCCCUAUUGUUAGUUGCCAUCAGGUCAUGCUGGGGACUCUAACAAAACUGCCCGCGUAAGCGUGGAGGAAGGUGGGGAUGACGUCAAAUCAGCACGGCCCUUACGUCCAGGGCUACACACGUGCUACAAUGGCCGGUACAGAGGGCAGCCACUUGGUGACAAGGAGCAAAUCUCAAAAGCCGGUCUCAGUUCGGAUCGGAGUCUGCAACUCGACUCCGUGAAGUUGGAUUCGCUAGUAAUCGUAGAUCAGCAAUGCUACGGUGAAUACGUUCCCGGGCCUU
rnacentral:rRNA from 1 species